AGAGUUUGAUCCUGGCUCAGAUUGAACGCUGGCGGCAUGCUUUACACAUGCAAGUCGGACGGCAGCACAGAGAAGCUUGCUUCUUGGGUGGCGAGUGGCGAACGGGUGAGUAAUAUAUCGGAACGUACCGAGUAAUGGGGGAUAACUAAUCGAAAGAUUAGCUAAUACCGCAUAUUCUCUGAGGAGGAAAGCAGGGGACCUUCGGGCCUUGCGUUAUUCGAGCGGCCGAUAUCUGAUUAGCUAGUUGGUGGGGUAAAGGCCUACCAAGGCGACGAUCAGUAGCGGGUCUGAGAGGAUGAUCCGCCACACUGGGACUGAGACACGGCCCAGACUCCUACGGGAGGCAGCAGUGGGGAAUUUUGGACAAUGGGCGCAAGCCUGAUCCAGCCAUGCCGCGUGUCUGAAGAAGGCCUUCGGGUUGUAAAGGACUUUUGUCAGGGAAGAAAAGGCUGUUGCUAAUAUCGACAGCUGAUGACGGUACCUGAAGAAUAAGCACCGGCUAACUACGUGCCAGCAGCCGCGGUAAUACGUAGGGUGCGAGCGUUAAUCGGAAUUACUGGGCGUAAAGCGAGCGCAGACGGUUACUUAAGCAGGAUGUGAAAUCCCCGGGCUUAACCUGGGAACUGCGUUCUGAACUGGGUGACUAGAGUGUGUCAGAGGGAGGUAGAAUUCCACGUGUAGCAGUGAAAUGCGUAGAGAUGUGGAGGAAUACCGAUGGCGAAGGCAGCCUCCUGGGAUAACACUGACGUUCAUGCUCGAAAGCGUGGGUAGCAAACAGGAUUAGAUACCCUGGUAGUCCACGCCCUAAACGAUGUCAAUUAGCUGUUGGGCAACUUGAUUGCUUAGUAGCGUAGCUAACGCGUGAAAUUGACCGCCUGGGGAGUACGGUCGCAAGAUUAAAACUCAAAGGAAUUGACGGGGACCCGCACAAGCGGUGGAUGAUGUGGAUUAAUUCGAUGCAACGCGAAGAACCUUACCUGGUCUUGACAUGUACGGAAUCCUCCAGAGACGGAGGAGUGCCUUCGGGAGCCGUAACACAGGUGCUGCAUGGCUGUCGUCAGCUCGUGUCGUGAGAUGUUGGGUU
rnacentral:rRNA from 1 species